UGAGUAAACCAGGCGAUCGCGCGGCAGGCAUCUGCCGUGAGGAAAGUCCGGGCUCCAAAGAGCAUGGGUGCCGGAUAACGUCCGGCGCGGGCAACCGUAGGGAAAGUGCAACAGAAACACACCGCCGAUGGCGGCCUUUUGGCCGCACAGGCAAGGGUGAAAUCGUGGAGUAAGAGUCCACGGCGCCCCAUGGUAACAUGGGGAGCGUGUAAACCCCACCCGGAGCAAGGUCGAAAGGGACGGCCCGGCGCCACCGCCGGACGGCUGCUCGUCGUGUCCCUUAUAGGCGGACCGCAGGCGGACGGGCACUUCGCCCGCCCCAGAGGCAGCUGGAGACAGCUGCCCCAGAUAGAUGAUCGCCAUCCGCCCUCCGGGGCGGACUACAGAACCCGGCUUACGGUUUACUCAUAUU
rnacentral:RNase_P_RNA from 1 species